rnacentral:rRNA from 1 species
ACAUGCCUACAUCAUAGCGUUAAUGCACCAAAUCCCAUUAGAACUCCACAGUUAAGGGCGCUUGGGCUAGAGUAGUAUUGGGAUGGGUGACCGCCCAAGAAGUCCUAGUGCUUUACAUGCC